AGAUUGAACGCUGGCGGCAUGCCUUACACAUGCAAGUCGAACGGUAACAGGUUAAGCUGACGAGUGGCGAACGGGUGAGUAAUAUAUCGGAACGUGCCCAGUCGUGGGGGAUAACUGCUCGAAAGAGCAGCUAAUACCGCAUACGACCUGAGGGUGAAAGCGGGGGAUCGCAAGACCUCGCGCGAUUGGAGCGGCCGAUAUCAGAUUAGGUAGUUGGUGGGGUAAAGCCCACCAAGCCAACGAUCUGUAGCUGGUCUGAGAGGACGACCAGCCACACUGGGACUGAGACACGGCCCAGACUCCUACGGGAGGCAGCAGUGGGGAAUUUGGACAAUGGGCGCAAGCCUGAUCCAGCCAUCGCGCGUGCGGGAGAAGGCUCGGUUGUAACCGCUUUGUCGAGGAGAAAGUUCGUGUUAAUACCUGGACUCGAUGACGGUACCUGAAGAAUAAGACACCGCUAACUACGUGAC
rnacentral:rRNA from 1 species